rnacentral:rRNA from 1 species
CAGCAGCCGCGGGAAUACGUAGGUGGCAAGCGUUGUCCGGAAUUAUUGGGCGUAAAGGGUGCGUAGGCGGUUUGACAAGUCAUCUGUGAAAUCUAUGGGCUCAACCCAUAGUCUGCAGGCGAAACUGUCGGGCUUGAGUAUUGGAGAGGUGAGUGGAAUUUCCGGUGUAGCGGUGAAAUGCGUAGAUAUCGGAAGGAACACCUGUGGCGAAGGCGACAUACUGGUCCAUUACUGACGCUGAGGCUCGAAAGCGUGGGGAGCAAACAGGAUUAGAUACCCGCGUAGUCCCUGUCUCUUAUAC